UACGUAGGGGGCAAGCGUUGUCCGGAAUCAUUGGGCGUAAAGCGCGUGUAGGCGGUUCAGUAAGUCUGCUGUGAAAGUCCAGGGCUCAACCCUGGGAUGCCGGUGGAUACUGCUGGGCUAGAGUACGGAAGAGGCGAGUGGAAUUCCCGGUGUAGCGGUGAAAUGCGCAGAUAUCAGGAGGAACACCGAUGGCGAAGGCAGGUCACUGGGCCGCAACUGACGCUGAGGAGCGAAAGCAUGGGGAGCGAACAGG
rnacentral:rRNA from 1 species